rnacentral:rRNA from 1 species
UCCUUUUGUAGAUAAUUUAAGGUCUAGCCUGCCCACUGAAAUUUUAAAUGGCCGUGGUAUUUUGACCGUGCUAAGGUAGCAUAAUCAUUAGUUUUUUAAUUAAAAACUGGAAUGAAAGGUUGGAUGAGAAAAUAGCUGUCUCUAUUAAAUUUAAUUAGAAUUUUAUUUUUAAGUUAAAAAGCUUAAUUAUUAUUAAAAGACGAGAAGACCCUAUAGAGUUUAAUUAUUUAAUAAAAAUUAUAUUUUAGUAUUAAUUUAUUUAUUUUAUUGAAUAAUUUAAUUGGGGUGAUUGAAAAAUUUAAUUAACUUUUUUUAUUUAAAAACAUUAAUUUAUGAAUAAAUGAUCCAAUAUUUUUGAUUAUAAGAUAAAAUUACCUUAGGGAUAACAGCGUAAUUUUUUUAGAAAGUUCAUAUUAAAAAAAAAGAUUGCGACCUCGAUGUUGGAUUAAAAUAAAUUUUUGGUGUAGAAGCUAAAAUAUUAGGUCUGUUCGACCUUUAAAAUUUUACAUGAU